rnacentral:rRNA from 1 species
CUUGUACACACCGCCCGUCACACCAUGGGAGUUGGCUUUACCUGAAGACGGUGCGCUAACCCGCAAGGGAGGCAGCCGGCCACGGUAGGGUCAGCGACUGGGGUGAAGUCGUAACAGGGUAGCCGUAGGGGAACCUGCGGCUGGAUCACCUCCUUU